AAAUAUAGAAAAAAAGACAAUGGAAAUGUAGGAUGUUUUUAGUUGACAUCAAGAAAUACAUAUUUAAAAAUAAAGUAGAGAGACAUAUUUGAUAUUUAAAAAGAAACAAAAUUAGGGAUGCCUGGGUGGCUCAGCGGUUGAGUGACUGCCUCUGGCUCAGGUUGUGAUCCCAGGGCCCCGGGAUGGAGUCCCACAUCGGCGUCCCCGCAGGAAGCCUGCUUGUCUCUCUACCUAUGUCUCUACCUCUCUCUGUGUCUCUCAUAAAUAAAUAAAUAAAAUCUUCAAAAAAAAUCUUAAAAAGAAACAAAAAUAGAAAAUAAAAGAGAACACUUUAAAAGGCACAGAAGUUAAAAAAAAAAGUCCUUUGCAAAGAAUCAUAGUACAUAAAUCAGGACUGUGCAAAUUCAGUACUUAAUUAUGGAAAAUUUGCCAUGUUUUUUUCCAUUUUGCAGAUUCUCUCCAAAGAAUGAAUAGACACAGACCAGAAAUACAAACUAGUCCCAGAGGUGAUCAAAGCUGUAAGAAUAAGUGGCAAGGAAUAAAAGUAGCUAAAGAAAACAGCAGGAAUCUAGCAAGUGUGACAAAAAAGUGAAAAGGCAGGAAGUGUCCACAUCUUCCACAUGACAAAUGGAUUACAGAAGCUAAAAAAUAUCACGAGCACCUGAGGAUUAAGGACUGCAAACUGGAAGAGGAAAGGAAGUGUGACGAAGGACAAAGAAGAGGAUAAGACCUAUCUUGUGAGGUCCUCUGGAUGGAAUCCAGAUGAGGAGAACAAGGUACCCCAGCUGACAGGCAGACAGCACUAUCUCCCAGGUAUAUGAAUGAAACUGGCUUGGCUCUCUCAGCCAAUCAAUCCACUGCUUACCUGAUUGCAACUGCCCAGGAGAGUUCAGGACACAAUGCUUAUACAUUACAGAACUUCAAGAAUAUGAGUGUGUCAAAGGAUACCAUCUUCAGCCAUGCAUACUAACUGAAACAUUAGGUGUUGUCUCUGUGAUGCCAAACAUCUGGCUGAAAAUGGAAUAAAGCAGAGAAACAUCAGGAUAUAUUCACAUAUCCAGCUGUUUGGCAUUAGGUAACUAAGUUUCUAGUUCUCAUUCAGAUAUGUAGAGUCAGGGACGAUAUGGCCAUAUCUUCCUUCCUCUAAGGGUUACUAACUGGUGCAAGAGAGGAAAAGGGUUUAGGAAUGAUAAAUCAGGGUGUCAUGGUGUCAACACAUCCAAAGAGGCGAUUGAAUUCAAUUUCUGUUCUCUGGCUUUGAAACAAUAAGAUGAUUUUCCUCUAGUGACUUGCAAUGGCAGAGAACUGAAAAUGAAUUCCAAGAAGGAAGCCUCCAAGAGUGUUUAGUAACUAGAUGGGGCUUUGUUGCCAUUGUGGUAAGCUUUAAAGUUAGGACAUCCUGUGGUUUGGUAGGGAUUAGAAAAAGUGACCAGGAAGAGCUAUUAAGGAAGUGUUCUUGAAAACCCUUUUCUCAAACGAUUCCAUAAUUGUGUAACUUGUAUAUAGUUGCAGUACUUUCAUAGUGUACUGCACAAGACAUCUUACAUGAUAAAUUACCUACAACAUUUGGAUAAUGGAAGGCAAGGGCCAUUUAAUAUUACAUACAAUGAGCAAAGUAUUGCAGUUUCUAAUUAAGUGCCCAAGUCUGUUGUACAAUGAACUAUUUGUUGAACUUUUAAAAUAU
rnacentral:lncRNA from 1 species